rnacentral:lncRNA from 1 species
GGAGGGUAAAGUCGUAUUGACUCCAUUAAAGCAGCUUCGAGAAACUUCAUCUCUUUCAGAUUCUGGUAGAUGUUCGUCGACGAAUUUUCUCCGGUGAGGUCGAAUGAUUCUUUGAGGAUUAAGGUUUGGAUGUUGGGAUGGAGAGUGAUGAGAUAGAAGAACCAAGUUAAAGCUGAUGAGGAAGUGUCUCUUCCGGCGAGAAUGAAGCUUAUGACCAUGUCUCUUGUUGUUUCUAUGGAGUUUCCAGACGAGAUGAGUCGGGAGAGGAAAUCAUUUCUCCCUCCGUCGAUGAGCUUUGUUUCAGAUUCAUCAUCUAUUCUUUUCUUUAUCAAAUCUUCAAUCGUCUGGUGGAUGAUACGAACUUUGUCUCUUAAAAUUCUCUCUGACCCAAUAUGGAAAAACCUCUUCACUUUCCAUGCCGCCGGAAAAAAUAUCCCUCUCACGCGUUUUAUGCAGAUUUCCGAAGCUGUAUCGUAAGCUGAUGCGAAUUCCGACGCCGGUAAUCCGUUCUUUAAUAACCCAAGAUCGUACCCAAAUGAGAUGUCGCAGAUCACGUCGAACGCGAAUCGGGUUAGCACCUCUUGCAUGUCUAUCACCGACGAGUUUUCCAUCGCCGUUUUCAGCAGAGGGAGGAGUCUAUUCUCAGUCUCCGACUGAAGAGACUUUACCAGAGUAUCCCGGAGACACUUCGUCGUAAACUCAUGACUAGCGAGUUUUCUUUGUUUAAACCACAUCUCCCCGUCGACAUUGAAUAUUCCGGUGCCGAGAAGAUCCCGGAAGUGCUCUUUCAGAGGUUCUCCUUUAGGAUAAUUCUGGAAAUUGGUCUUCAGAAUAUACUCUACGUUUUCUUGAUUCGCCGUCACUAUAUUCCGACGAGUGCCGAAUCUCCAUACCACAAUGGUGUUCGUCGGCGAAUCUUUCAACAUCGAUGUGUACCAGUCCAGUGUCCGGUGGCUGUUCUUGCGGAAAUCAAUCAUGCAUCCGAUUAUCGGAUGAUGACGCGGCCCAAACGUUCUCCCGUCCGAUCCUCGCCGGCCGGACCUACCGACAACCACCACUGACACGAGAAGAAGGAGGAAGAAGAAACUAGAGAGCAAGAAAAACUCCAUGGUGUGUUAUUUCUCGAGAAGGAAUAGUGGUUUAUUUAUAGAACUUUUUUUACUGUUUUAGGUUAUUUUAUAUUUUUCCCCAUUAGAAAUAAAUAAUUAUAUAUAUACCUAUAUUGUUAAAAGCCGUUAAAUGUGUGUACAAAUUCUACGUACCCACUAUGCCGUUAAAAUACCUUAACGAACAGAGCCCUAGUCCGACUCUAUAAACAAAAGCUCGACUCGUUUGACACCAUAUACCCACUAACGAGUCGAGUCCGAGCCCGUCUCUAUAAACAAAAGCUCUGCUCGGCUCAUUUGACACUCUAUACUCACUAUACCUUAACGAGCCGAGCCCGACUCUAUAAGCAAAAGCUCGGCUCGUUUGACACCCUAUACCCACUAUGCCAUUAAAAUACAUUUGAAGAAGUCCAUACAAAAAACACAGGUAGAUUAUUAUAUAUAUAUAUAUUAUAUAACUCUGGUAACUGGUAUAUCAUCCGAAUGUAGAAGAUAGUCACCCUUCGUUAUCAGAAGAAGAAAAAGUCGACACAAAAAAAUUAACUCAACUGAUAAUAAUUUAAAACGGACAUACAUAUUUUGUUUUAACUUAAAGGUACAUUUCAUUAUCAAAAAAGUUAAUUGUGACAGGUAAGGGAUGAUUUGUUUCUAAUUAAACAACUUUGAUACCAUGUUCCAUAUCUAUACAAAAAAAACACAAAUCGAUAAUACCAUGCUUUUAAAAAAAAAAAUUGACACUAAACUUUAUUGGUAGAUUAUCACAAACAAUAGCUAGUAACGUUUAUUUAAUAAAACGUUGAAGCCGCCAGACAUUUGGGAAGUCAUCAUAGGAAUGAACGUCGGUAUCUCAUCCGUCGUCCGUCGAAGCUCAAAUUGUCGGAGCACGGAAACGGCGACGUAUUUCAUCUGAAUCAUAGCCAUCUCUUUCCCAAGACAAAUCCUUGGACCAGCUUGGAAAACUGAGAACUUGUAUGGCGACACCCAAGCCAGCUCUUUCUUCUUGUCUUCUGAAACAGUCAGCCAUCGAUAAGGAUCGAACUCCGACCAAUUCUUCCCCCAGAGCUUCUCCAUACGACCCAUACCAUACGGGAAGAAUGUCACUCUGUCGCCUUUUCCGACGAGAGUACCGUCGGGGAGAACGUCGGAGGAGACUGCAUGCUUGGAAUCCCAUGAGACAGGAGGGUAAAGUCGCAUUGAUUCCAUUAAAGCAGCUUCGAGAAGCUUCAUCUCUUUCAGAUUCUGGUAGAUGUUCGUCGACAAAUUUUCUCCGGUGAGGUCGAAUGAUUCUUCGAGGAUUAAGGUUUGGAUGUUGGGAUGGAGAGUGAUGAGAUAGAAGAACCAAGUUAAAGCUGAUGAGGUAGUGUCUUUUCCGGCGAGGAUGAAGCUUAUGAC